GACGGGGGGGGCAAGUGUUCUUCGGAAUUACUGGGCGUAAAGCGCACGUAGGCGGCUUUGUAAGUUAGAGGUGAAAGCCUGAAGCUCAACUUCAGAAUUGCCUUUAAGACUGCAUCGCUUGAAUCCAGGAGAGGUGAGUGGAAUUCCGAGUGUAGAGGUGAAAUUCGUAGAUAUUCGGAAGAACACCAGUGGCGAAGGCGGCUCACUGGACUGGUAUUGACGCUGAGGUGCGAAAGCGUGGGGAGCAAACAGG
rnacentral:rRNA from 1 species